AGAGUUUGAUCAUGGCUCAGGACGAACGCUGGCGGCGUGCCUAACACAUGCAAGUCGAGCGGAGCUUAGCGGGCGGAAGCUUCGGCCGAAGCCUGCCGAGCUUAGCGGCGGACGGGUGAGUAACACGUAGGUAACCUACCCACCACACGGGGAUAGCCCUGGGAAACCGGGGGUAAUACCCGAUACCUUUACUGGGCGCAUGCCUGGUAAAGAAAGCGCUUUAGCGGUGGUGGAUGGGCCUGCGGCCCAUCAGCUAGUUGGUGAGGUAACGGCUCACCAAGGCGACGACGGGUAGCCGGCCUGAGAGGGUGGACGGCCACACUGGGACUGGGACACGGCCCAGACUCCUACGGGAGGCAGCAGUGGGGAAUAUUGGGCAAUGGGGGAAACCCUGACCCAGCGACGCCGCGUGGAGGAAGAAGGCCUUCGGGUUGUAAACUCCUGUCACCGGGGACGAAGAGGACGGUACCCGGGGAGGAAGCCCCGGCUAACUACGUGCCAGCAGCCGCGGUAAUACGUAGGGGGCGAGCGUUGUCCGGAAUUACUGGGCGUAAAGGGCGUGUAGGCGGGUCAGCNNGUUGCGGGUAAAAAACCAGGGCUCAACCCUGGGGGUGCCUGCGAAACUGCUGAUCUUGAGGUC
rnacentral:rRNA from 1 species